rnacentral:misc_RNA from 1 species
GCAGAAGAUAUACAUUUCAUUGAGAGCAUUAUUAUUAUUAUCAUUUUUAAUUUUUUCUACAAUAAAAAUAUAUACAUUAUAUAUAUUUACAAUUACCCAACAACCUGAUUGCCCCCACCUGACCGGUGCUUCUAUCCCAAAAAGGGUGAAAAAGGUUGAGGCAACAUCAAUAAACUUCCAUUGCAGGUCCAGGAACUAAUUCUAGAAAUUGCACACCAGAAAACCUAUUUGAAAGGAACUAAUGCUACAUUGUAAUGCAAUGUAAUACAAUCAAAUAGAAAAUUUGAUUGUAUUAUAUUGCAUUACAGUGUACCAAACAUAACCUAAAUGUCAAUGAAAAUGUGUCCAUAGCUCAUACCUCAUGUCAUUUGAUAGGCCAAUAACUAUCCAACAGCCAGAUAUAAAUUUGACGCAUCCUAAAGCUCUUUCGAGACCAGAAUCUGUUCCUUGGGAAUAUAACACAAGUUACUAGCAACAUGAAUGCUCACUCGCAUUGUUUUCGCUUGCUCCUCAUCACUUGUGCCUCAGAGGUUGCCAAAUUUUUCAUGCGUGUUAGCUGCUUUAACGAGGAGAAGGGAGGAUCAAGAAAGUUUGAAGUGGUCUCUUCACAAACGGAUGGCUCAACAGUUGGGUUGCUGUAGCCCGGUCAUUUGAAUUGACUUGUAAGCAUUUAAAGAUGAAAUCCUGG